rnacentral:rRNA from 1 species
UACGUAGGGUACAAGCAUUAAUCGGAAUUAUUGGGCGUAAAGGGCGCGUAGGCGGGGAUGUAAGUCAGGUGUGAAAUACCAAGGCUCAACUUUGGUGCUGCAUUUGAAACUGCAUUUCUUGAGGACUGACGGAGAAAGCGGAAUUCCAUGAGUAGCGGUGAAAUGCGUAGAUACAUGGAGGAACACCGGUGGCGAAAGCGGCUUUCUAGUUUUUACCUGACGCUGAGGCGCGAGAGCAAGGGGAGCAAACAGG